rnacentral:rRNA from 1 species
UACAGAGGUCUCAAGCGUUGUUCGGAUUCAUUGGGCGUAAAGGGUGCGUAGGUGGCGCGCUAAGUCAGGUGUGAAAUCUCGGAGCUUAACUCCGAAACUGCAUUCGAUACUGCCGUGCUUGAGGACUGGAGAGGAGACUGGAAUUUACGGUGUAGCGGUGAAAUGCGUAGAUAUCGUAAGGAAGACCAGUGGCGAAGGCGGGUCUCUGGACAGUUCCUGACGCUGAGGCACGAAGGUCAGGGGGAGCAAACGGG